GGGGGUUUAGCUCAGUGGCAUAAGCACCUGCCUUGUAAGCAGGAGGUUGUGAGUUCAAUCCCCA
rnacentral:tRNA from 1 species